GCCAUGUUUGACAGAUCAAAUGGCCACAUUGGGAAUGAGAUAUCCCAAGUAGAGAACUCUACCAGCAGUCGAGAAUAUUAGUCAAUGCUCGCAAGAGUGAACUAGCUAACUGGAAUCACGAAUGUGUCAUUUGUGAUAACGUAAAGGAAAAAUAAUGAUGUCACUUUACUAUUAGUGUUGUCAAAAUCUGGUGCCAGAAGACUCGGUAAGGCCAGAGACGCAAGCGUUAGUCAUCUUGAUCAGGCGUAAAGGGUGUGUAGGCGGCUUUAAAAUUUUUAUAAUUAAAGCUAGAAUCAAAUAGAGGUCACCGUGAGAGAACACUUAGUGUAGGGCUGAUAUCUGUAAAUACUUAGUGGAAUUCUAAUUAGCGAAGGCUCUUUUCCAAAUAAUGAUUGACGCUGAGAAACGAAGGGGAGGAACGACAAUAGGAUUAGAUACCCUGGCAUCCCUCUCUGUCAACGAUGAAUGGUAGUUGCUAGUUCUAAUGAGUUAGUGGCGAUGUAAACACGUUAACCAUUCCGCCUUGUGAGUACAAUUGCAAAGUUGAAAACAAAAAAAUUAGUCGGUUUCGGAGCAA
rnacentral:rRNA from 1 species